GGUGGAAUAGCUCAGUGGUAGAGCACAUGCUUAGCAUGCAUGGGGCCCUGGGUUCAAUCCCCAGGACCUCCA
rnacentral:tRNA from 1 species